GACGAACGCUGGCGGCGUGCUUAACACAUGCAAGUCGAACGGAAAGGCCCGGCUUUUGUGGGGUGCUCGAGUGGCGAACGGGUGAGUAACACGUGAGUAACCUGCCCUUGACUUUGGGAUAACUUCAGGAAACUGGGGCUAAUACCGGAUAGGAGCUCCUGCUGCAUGUGGGGGGUUGGAAAGUUUCGGCGGUUGUGGAUGGACUCGCGGGUUAUCAGCUUGUUUGUGGGGUAGGUGCGUACCAAGGGUUUGACGGGUAGCCGGCCUGGGAGGGUGAACGGGCACAUUGGGACUGAGAUACGGACCAGACUCCUACGGGCGGCAGCAGUGGGGAGUAUUGCAGAAUGGGCGGAAGCCUGAUGCAGCAACGCCGCGUGCGGGAUGACGGCUUUCGGGUUGUAAACAGAUUUCGACUGUGCCGAAGCGUGCGUGACGGUAAUGGGUCAAGAAGCACCGGCUAACUACGUG
rnacentral:rRNA from 1 species